AGAGUUUGAUCAUGGCUCAGAACGAACGCUGGCGGCAGGCCUAACACAUGCAAGUCGAACGAGAUCUUCGGAUCUAGUGGCGGACGGGUGAGUAACGCGUGGGAAUCUGCCUAGUAGUUGGGGACAACUCGGGGAAACUCGAGCUAAUACCGAAUACGCCCUACGGGGGAAAGGCUUCGGCCGCUAUUAGAUGAGCCCGCGUAAGAUUAGCUUGUUGGUGGGGUAAUGGCCUACCAAGGCAACGAUCUUUAGCUGGUCUGAGAGGACGAUCAGCCACACUGGGACUGAGACACGGCCCAGACUCCUACGGGAGGCAGCAGUGGGGAAUAUUGGACAAUGGGGGAAACCCUGAUCCAGCAAUGCCGCGUGUGUGAAGAAGGCCUGCGGGUUGUAAAGCACUUUCAGUAGGGAAGAUAAUGACGGUACCUACAAAAGAAGCACCGGCUAACUCCGUGCCAGCAGCCGCGGUAAUUC
rnacentral:rRNA from 1 species